CACUGCCGAGAAAAGCCUCUAGAUAGAAAAUAGGUGCCCGUACCGCAAACCGACACAGGUAGUCAAGAUGAGAAUUCUAAGGUGAGCGAGCGAACUCUCGUUAAGGAACUCGGCAAAAUGACCCCGUAACUUCGGGAGAAGGGGUGCUCUUUAGGGUUAACGCCCAGAAGAGCCGCAGUGAAUAGGCCCAAGCGACUGUUUAUCAAAAACACAGGUCUCUGCUAAACCGUAAGGUGAUGUAUAGGGGCUGACGCCUGCCCGGUGCUGGAAGGUUAAGAGGAGUGGUUAGCUUCUGCGAAGCUACGAAUCGAAGCCCCAGUAAACGGCGGCCGUAACUAUAACGGUCCUAAGGUAGCGAAAUUCCUUGUCGGGUAAGUUCCGACCCGCACGAAAGGCGUAACGAUUUGGGCACUGUCUCAACGAGAGACUCGGUGAAAUCAUAGUACCUGUGAAGAUGCAGGUUACCCGCGACAGGACGGAAAGACCCCGUGGAGCUUUACUGUAGCCUGAUAUUGAAAUUCGGCACAGCUUGUACAGGAUAGGUAGGAGCCUUUGAAACGUGAGCGCUAGCUUACGUGGAGGCGCUGGUGGGAUACUACCCUAGCUGUGUUGGCUUUCUAACCCGCACCACUUAUCGUGGUGGGAGACAGUGUCAGGCGGGCAGUUUGACUGGGGCGGUCGCCUCCUAAAAGGUAACGGAGGCGCUCAAAGGUUCCCUCAGAAUGGUUGGAAAUCAUUCAUAGAGUGUAAAGGCAUAAGGGAGCUUGACUGCGAGACCUACAAGUCGAGCAGGGUCGAAAGACGGACUUAGUGAU
rnacentral:rRNA from 1 species